CAGAUCCCAAACCAGCCAAUCACUUUCCAUAAAGCCCCUUUGAAAGAAUGCAAGAACAGCAAAGGAAAUGAUGCAAUGGGAUGUUCAUGGUGGACAUUCCUGAAUGAUAAGACUGCUCCGCCACACUCACUGAUCCAGUUCCCAAUGGUCAAAGCCACUGUGCGAGCCAUGGAUACCAUAACUGCUUUCCUACUGAAAGAAUCUGAGACAAAGAUG